UUAAAGGGCCGUGGUAUACUGACCAUGCGAAGGUAGCAUAAUCAUUAGCCUUUUGAUUUGAGGCUGGAAUGAAUGGUCUGACGAGAGGCAACCUGUCUCCUUAAUUAACUUGAAUUUAAUCUUUAAGUGAAAAAGCUUAAAUAGCCUUGGAGGACGAUAAGACCCUAUAGAUCUUUACAUCCGGCUUUUUCAUCUAACGGUGGGUAAUCGGGUGGAAGAGAAGGAUGUUUGGUUGGGGCGACGUCGAGAGGAGAAUAAACACUCGAGAAUAUACAUACAUCAAUAAAUGAUCAUUGAUCCUUAGAUGAAAAUAGAGUAAGUUACCUUAGGGAUAACAGCGUAAUUCUUUUUGAGAGCUCAAAUCGACAAAAGAGUUUGCGACCUCGAUGUUGGUUCAGGGACCCUAUUUGGUGCAGCAGCUUAAUCAGGUAGUC
rnacentral:rRNA from 1 species